rnacentral:piRNA from 1 species
GACCUGGGAGAAUGGUAGCACUUUGAG